UACAGAGACUGCAAGCGUUAUUCGGAUUCACUGGGCGUAAAGGGUGCGUAGGCGGCCGUGCAAGUCUGGCGUGAAAGCCCCGGGCUCAGCCCGGGAAGUGCGCUCGAAACUGCGCGGCUCGAGUGCCGGAGGGGAGAGUGGAAUUCCUGGUGUAGCGGUGAAAUGCGCAGAUAUCAGGAGGAACACCGGUGGCGAAGGCGGCCAACUGGACAGAUACUGACGCUGAGACACGAAAGCGUGGGGAGCAAACAGG
rnacentral:rRNA from 1 species